rnacentral:rRNA from 1 species
AUGGUGAGCCCCUACGCCACCGCCCUCUCUCCUCUCCUCCCCUACUCCCUCACCUAUCUCUCUCCCCUGCAGACGUACCCCGCCGCCAGGAGGCCAGGAGGCCGCCAUGGAGGCCCGUCCCGAGCUCGCCUCGCUGCUCCUCCGGUGACCCUCGUUGCGCCUGGAUCCGGGCGGAUCCGACGAUUCCCCGACGCGCAGGCGGGCCGGCACACGGUGCUAGGCGAAGGAGCCCUCCCAUGGCGGAUGAAUCGACUAGCCGAAAUCCCUGGGCCCCCGAAAUUUCUUGACUGGCCCUACUCACGAGAGCCAAAAUCCCUGGAGGCUGGAGUGGUAGAUGAUCUCAUGCGACAGUGGGUUGAAAGUGAGCUAGAUGCUCGUGCCGUCGGUUUCGAACGCGUGCUGCCGGUCGGCUCCUUGUGUCCUCCAGUGGCUUCCAUUGAGGUUCAUCCUGUGGCAUUUCUUGGAGCAGAUGCAGUCGACAUGUAUGCUGGGAGCAUGCUAAUGGGGGCACCUAAAGUGUUCGACGGAAUGGCUAUCAUAUUGGUGCUUUACCAUCUCACCUCACCACCACUGAUAUCCCAAAUUAUCCCACCAAGAAAGAUGGCCGCGUCGUCCUGGCCUGCGCUCCCGGCCACCCAGCGGGAUGUCCAGGCUGUCGUUGCCAAGGACGUGGAGCUGCACUGGCCUCUAUUGGCGCACCGUGCCCAAUGUCAGUGCUGCCAAUAUUGCUUAUUUGAUCAACUUCGGGGCCAAUUAGCUGAUGGGAGACAGGGAGAACGAAGGUUGACGAGGCUUAGGCAGUCUGCUGACAGGAAAUGCAAUAGUGAUUUCGCAAGAGAAAUGGAGGUGAUGGCUAGGCUCUGGCACGACAAUGUUAUCCACCUCCUUGCUUACUUCAGUGAAUGCGAUGAGCGGAUACUCAUCUAUAGCUAUAUGUCGAACAACAGCAUGGAUCUCUGCUUAUACUUCUAUAUUUUUUCUUGCCUAUGCUCAGAAUUUGGAUCACAAUAG